rnacentral:misc_RNA from 1 species
GAUGAAGAACGUAGCGAAAUGCGAUAACUAAUGUGAAUUGCAGAAUUCAGUGAAUCAUCGAAUCUUUGAACGCACAUUGCGCCCCCCAGUAUUCUGGCGGGCAUGCCUGUUCGAGCGUCAUUUCAACCAUCAAGCCCUGCUUGUGUUGGGGUCCUGCGGCUGCCCGCAGGCCCUGAAAACCAGUGGCGGGCUCGCUAGUCACACCGAGCGCAGUAGCACAUCUCGCUCAGGGCGUGCGGCGGGCUCCAGCCGUUAAAGCACCCACCUUUCGCAAGGUUGACCUCGGAUCAGGUAGGAAUACCCGCUGAACUUAAGCAUAUCAAUAAGCGGAGGA